AAGUGUUACAGCUCUUUUAGAAUUUGUCUAGCAGGUUUUCUGGUUCUACCAGAAAGCCCAC
rnacentral:snRNA from 1 species